CCUACGGGAGGCAGCAGUGGGGAAUAUUGCACAAUGGGGGAAACCCUGAUGCAGCGACGCCGCGUGAGUGAAGAAGUAUUUCGGUAUGUAAAGCUCUGUCAGCAGGGAAGAAAAUGACGGUACCUGACCAAGAAUCCCCGGCUAACUACGCGCCAGCAGCCGCGGUAAUACGUAAGGGGCAAGCGUUAUCCGGAUUUACUGGGGGUAAAGGGAGCGUAGACGGGAGGGCAAGUCUGGAGUGAAAGGCGGGGGGUCAACCCCCGGACUGCACUGGAAACUGCCAGGCUGGAGUGCAGGAGAGGUAGGUGGAAUUCCUAGUGUAGCGGUGAAAUGCGUAGAUAUUAGGAGGAACACCAGUGGCGAAGGCGGCUUACUGGACUGUAACUGACGUUGAGGCUCGAAAGCGUGGGGAGCAAACAGGAUUAGAUACCCGGGUAGUC
rnacentral:rRNA from 1 species